rnacentral:lncRNA from 1 species
GAUGGCAACCCCUAAAGGGACUUCCCAUCCAAAGAAGCAUCAACUACAACUAAGACUAAAGAAAGGGAAGUAGAAUAAAAGAUUUCCAAAACUCUUUCCUUAUCUAAAGUCAUAGAUAGAUUCUCUAAUCCAUUUACAUUGUUUUGUAGGUGUCCAAAUAAAAGUAGGAAACUAUGUCUACACAUCUCAAGAAGCUAGCCAAAGCUAAGAAAGAGCAAAGGAGACUAAGGAAGAGGACUUUAGAAGGCCUACGGAUUGAAGGCAACAACUUCCCCAAAUGGAAACAUGAAGAAGGUGCCUACCGCCCAGCCAACACCCUUGUGCGCUUAGCCAUUCACGCUUGCCUCCUUCUUCAUUGCCGCACAUGUUAAACAUUAUUCAUAUGAAGCAUGUGGCCAGCUGGACAGCUUCCUCCACAAGUUUCCUUUAGCUUUCCAUCACGUUUUCAAUAAGCAAAUAUGUUAGCUUCCCUUGCACGCAUCUUGAAGCCUUCUCCAUCUAUAAAAGAGAAGCUUCAUCUCUUGUAAAUCAACUUGAGUUUAAGUAAUGAAAUGCUGCUGAACUUCNN